UACGUAGGGGGCUAGCGUUGUCCGGAUUUAUUGGGCGUAAAGAGCGUGUAGGCGGCCAGGUAGGUCUGGUGUGAAAACUCGAGGCUUAACCUCGAGAUGUCAUCGGAAACCAUUUGGCUAGAGUCCGGAAGAGGAGAGUGGAAUUCCUGGUGUAGCGGUGAAAUGCGCAGAUAUCAGGAAGAACACCAAUGGCGAAAGCAGCUCUCUGGGCCACUACUGACGCUGAGAAGCGAAAGCAUGGGGAGCAAACAGG
rnacentral:rRNA from 1 species